UGGAGGGGGCGGUUUGGGGGUCCCUAUAGGGUCCUGGGGAGGGUCCGGCUCUGUGGGGGUCCCCGGUGUCGUUCCGGGGGUCCCGGGAUCUAUAGGGGGCCCUGGCAUCAGUGAGGGGGGGGGCGAGCCUAUAGGGGUCCAUGGGGGUGGUCUGGGGGUCCCCAAGCCUAUAGGGGUCCAUGGGGUCAGUCUGGGGGUCCUGGGAUCUAUAGGGGUCCAUGGGGUCAGUCUGGGGGUCCUGGGAUCUAUAGGGGUCCAUAUUGUCUGUCUGGGGGACCUGGGAUGUGUAGGGGUCCAUGGGAUCACUAUGGGGGUCCCCAAGUCUAUAGGGGUCCAUGGGGUCAGUAUGGGGGUCCCCAAGUCUAUAGGGGUGCAUGGGUUCGGUCUGGAGGUCCUGGGAUCUAUAGGGGUCCCCGGCAUCAGUAGUGGAGCCCCCAAGCCUAUAGGGGUCCUUGGGGUCAGCCUGGGGGUCCUGGGCCCUAUGGAGGUCCCUAUAUGCAGUCUGGGGGUCCUGGGAUCUAUAGGGGUCCCCAGCAUCGGUAGGGGGAUCCCCAAGCCUAUAGGGUUCCCUGGGGUUGGUCUGGAGGUCCUGGGAUCUAUAGGGUUCCCUAUAGAGAGGCUGGGGGUCCUGGGAUCUGUAGGGGUCCCCAGCAUCAGUAGUGGAGUCCCCAAGUCUAUAGGGGUCUUUGGAGUCAGCCUGGGCCCCAUAGGGGUCCCUAUACGCAGGCUGGGGGUCCUGGGAUCUAUAGGGGUCCCUAUAUGCAGUCUGGGGGUCCUGGGAUCCAUAGGGGUCCCCAGCAUCAGUAGGGGGAUCCCCAAGCCUAUAGGGUUCCCUGGGGUUGGUCUGGGGGUCCCAGGCCCUAUAGGGGUCCCUAUACUCAGGCUGGGGGUCCUGGGCUCUGUAGGGGUCCCUGACUUCAGUCUGGGGGCCCCCAUCCCCAUGGGGGUCCCAGGGCUCGCUCUGGGGGUCCCCGUUACUAUAGGGGUCCCUGGGGUCAGUCUGGGGGUCCCACGGCCUAUAGGGGUCCCCGGCAUCAGUCUGGGGACCCCCAUCCCUAUAGGGGUCGGUGUCGGGGUCCCCAUAGGGCUCCCAGGGCCUGGUUUGGGGGUCCCUGCCCCUGCGGAGGCUCCCGGGCUCUGGGUCCUCGGCCCCAUAGGGGUCCGACGGGGCCAUAUAGGGGUCCCAGGGCCCCCUCACGGGGUCCUCAUCCCUAUAGGGGUCCAUAUAGGGGUCGCCGUAAGAGUCGGGGUCCCAGGUCUCUGUGUCGGCGUCUUCAUCCCUAUAGGGGGCGGCGGGGUCCGCGUAGGGGUCCCCAUAGGCGUCGGGGUCCCCAUAGGGGUCGGGGUCCUCCAGGUCCGUGUAGGGGUCCCCAUAGGCGCUGGGGUCCCAUGGGUGGGCGGGGGGGGGCGGGGAGGCGGCCUCGUGCAAGCCGCGCUGGUGCAAAGCCCGGUGCGAAUCCUCGUGCGAAUCCUCGUGCGAGUCCUCGUGCAAAUCCUCGUGCGAGCCCCGCCGCCGCUCCCCGCGCGCGUCCUGCUGCCGAGCCCGGCCCGCGGCUCGGUUCCAAUCCUCGUGCAAGCCCCGGCGCCAAUCCUCAGGUGCGCCCUGGCGCGGGUCCUGGUGCAAACCCUCGUGCAAAUCCUCGUGCGAGCCCCGGCGCGACGCCUCGUGCGAGCCCCGCGGCGAGCCCCGCUGCAACUCCUCCCGCAGGCCGCGCCGCGAAUCCCGGCGCCACCCCCGGCGCGGCUCCUCGUGCGAGCCCCGGCGCACGUCCCGGUGCAAAUCCUCGUGCCUCGGCCUCCCCGGAGGCCGCCGGGGCCGGCACGUGGCGCCGUCGGGCUGCAGGACGAAGCCGCGGCGGCAGUGGCAGGCGAAGCCGCCCUCGUGGUUGAGGCACAUGUGGUGGCACACGGCGGCCGUGCGGCACUCGUCGCGGUCCCCGCAGCGCCCCGGGGCCCCCGGCACCGGCCCGAAGCCCAGCGGGCACGGGGGCACCGGGGACACCGCCGCCGCCGCCGCCGUCAGCAGGGCCAGCAGGGCCAGCAUCGUCCUCCUCGGCCUCCUCUUCCUCUUCUUCCUCGGCCUCCUCCUCCUCCUCCUCCUCCUCCUCGGCCUCCCCCUGCUCCUUGGCCUCCUCCUCGGUCUCCUUCCCCUCGGCCUCCUCCUCCUCCUCCUGCUGCUCCUCGGCCUCCUCCUCGGCCUCUUUGGCCUCCUCCUCCUCC
ensembl:lncRNA